rnacentral:rRNA from 1 species
UACGGAGGGUGCGAGCGUUGUCCGGAAUCAUUGGGCGUAAAGGGCGCGUAGGUGGCCCGGUCAGCGUGCGGUGAAAGCUCGGGGCUCAACCCCGAGUCGGCCGUGCGAACUGCUGGGCUUGAGCACUGUAGAGGCAGGCGGAAUUCCGGGUGUAGCGGUGGAAUGCGUAGAGAUCCGGAAGAACACCGGUGGCGAAGGCGGCCUGCUGGGCAGUGGCUGACACUGAGGCGCGACAGCGCGGGGAGCAAACAGG